AGAGUGCAGGGUGCUUGCAAUGACCCAGCCGCUCGUGGCUGGUUGAACCCAAGAAGGAGAUUUGGGGGCACAUUCCUAGUAGCUACCAAAACUAUUUGUUUCAGGGAUCUUCCCUGUUUCUGCCUUGCUGCAACUUACAGUUUCCCUUGGUGGAGCAGAAAGAUGCACCUGGAGGAGCUGAUGAGCCCCGAGACCGAAAAACCCUGAAAAUAAUUAUGGCAAGGAGUUAAGAGUGAUGUUUUUCUCUUCUGAGUGUAGAAGCAAGACCCUCAGGAGCAAUGAGACCACCCGAUGUCUAGUUUUGAUUUCUAAGACCACCGCCCACCAAAAGGAACGAAACCUUUCUGGAGAAAUGGCUGAUUCCAGGUCUGGGGAAAGCAAAGUACAUGUGGAAACUUGACAUUCAUCUGGGCUCAGAAUCAUGACUGCAUAUCCCAGACUUCCCCAAAGCCGGGAGAGACUCUAUAACCAGCUUCUGGCCCAUGAGAUGGUAAGAGAACCUGGCAUACAUCCUUUGUCCCU